CAAACAAAGAUGGUGGCUCCCUGACCGUCCAUGUGGCUCACAGAGGCAGAAGAACUCGUUCAGAACUUAAUAUCAACUCUUUAAAUAUCAGAAAACAAACAGAAGUGUGGUGGAGGUGAAGCUGCGCACAACUCGAGAUGCAACACGACGACGUGAUCUGGGACAUUAUCGGAAACCAACAGUUUUGCUCCUUUAAAGUCAAGACUAAGAGUCAGGGCUUCUGUCGGAAUGAGUUCAACAUCACGGGGUUGUGUAACCGCUCGUCCUGCCCGCUGGCCAACAGCCAGUACGCCACCAUCAGAGAGGAGAAGG